rnacentral:tRNA from 1 species
AGGGAUGUGGCGCAGCUUGGUAGCGCGUUUGUUUUAGGUACAAAAUGUCAUAGGUUCAAAUCCUGUCAUCCCUA